GGGGAAAUAGCUGAGUUGGUUAGAGUGCUGGUCUGUCACGCCAGAAGUCGCGGGUUCGAACCCCGUUUUCCCCG
rnacentral:ncRNA from 16 species